GAUGAACGCUGGCGGCGUGCCUAAUACAUGCAAGUCGAGCGAACAGACGAGGAGCUUGCUCCUCUGACGUUAGCGGCGGACGGGUGAGUAACACGUGUAUAACCUACCUAUAAGACUGGGAUAACUUCGGGAAACCGGAGCUAAUACCGGAUAAUAUAUUGAACCGCAUGGUUCAAUAGUGAAAGACGGCUUUGCUGUCACUUAUAGAUGGAUCCGCGCCGCAUUAGCUAGUUGGUAAGGUAACGGCUUACCAAGGCAACGAUGCGUAGCCGACCUGAGAGGGUGAUCGGCCACACUGGAACUGAGACACCGUCCAGGCUCCUACGGGAGGCAGCAGUAGGGAAUCUUCCGCAAUGGGCGAAAGCCUGACGGAGCAACGCCGCGUGAGUGAUGAAGGUCUUCGGAUCGUAAAACUCUGUUAUUAGGGAAGAACAACUGUGUAAGUAACUAUGCACGUCUUGACGGUACCUAAUCAGAAAGCAACGGCUAACUACGUG
rnacentral:rRNA from 1 species